GACGAACGCUGGCGGCGUGCUUAACACAUGCAAGUCGAACGGAAAGGCCCUGCCUUUGUGGGGUGCUCGAGUGGCGAACGGGUGAGUAACACGUGAGUAACCUGCCCUUGACUUUGGGAUAACUUCAGGAAACUGGGGCUAAUACCGGAUAGGAGCUCCUGCUGCAUGGUGGGGGUUGGAAAGUUUCGGCGGUUGGGGAUGGACUCGCGGCUUAUCAGCUUGUUGGUGGGGUAGUGGCUUACCAAGGCUUUGACGGGUAGCUGGCCUGAGAGGGUGACCGGCCACAUUGGGACUGAGAUACGGCCCAGACUCCUACGGGAGGCAGCAGUGGGGAAUAUUGCACAAUGGGCGGAAGCCUGAUGCAGCAACGCCGCGUGCGGGAUGACGGCCUUCGGGUUGUAAACCGCUUUCGCCUGUGACGAAGCGUGAGUGACGGUAAUGGGUAAAGAAGCACCGGCUAACUACGUG
rnacentral:rRNA from 1 species